UCUUAAAGUAUGUGUCGAAAAUGAUGAGACUUUGGUUCAGAAGCAUUAGUCACCCUGCUGACAUGCCUGUCUUGUCUGCCUGUCUGUCUCUAGCUUAUAAAUACACCACAACAUCACUGUCAGUACACAGUGGGCGGGAGAGACAGGAAGAGAGGAAGAUGUCACAGGUGAAGGAAAUAAUGACGCAAAGGAUGGGUAGAGAAGAAAGAGACACACCUUAAAGAAUAAUAGUUGAAGGGGGGGGGGGGUCGAAGUUGUAGACAACAAAUACUUGGCAUUUGGUGUGGUCUCUACAGUGCAAAAGAAUGGUGAUGGAACAGUUAUUUGUGGCUGUGCUAAUGAUGUCUGCACACCUAGCAGUCUCAUAUCCUCUGGUAACCAUUUUGCCCCUUUUAUGUCCGUUCUUAGUAUUUGUUAUGACCGCCUAUGAAAGCUGUUAGAACCAUUUGACAUUAUGACAGUCGACAACAUUAUGACAGUCGACCUCAUGAGACUGUGUGCUCGUGUUGUGUGUCGUCAGACUACAGAGAGCUAUUACAUGGAUGGAGGGAGACAAUGCAGACUGUGUCCACCAGGUCAUUAUCAGAAGUCCUGUUCAGAGUGCUCUCCCUGUCGAGAUGGUUCCUACACAACACGAUUGAAUGCUGAGUCCAGUUGUCAUUCCUGCUUUAAAGACUGCAAACAUGAUUUGCACCUGGUGGAGGAUGAGCCGUGUACUCCUGUAUCGGACGCUAGAUGUCGCUGUGAGGCUGGUUUUACCUGCACCGACAAAGACGACCAGACAGGAAACUGUAGAGACUGUGAGAAGAUCCCUCAGCUGCCCCCACCUCCCCUGCCACCUAGCAAUGUAGUGGGCAUCAGAAACAACCAGACAGGAACUUCCUCUGAACACAGCAGGACUUCCUCUUCCGCUGGACGCUGUCAACCUCCCAACUGUGACACUCCACGAUCACCAGUCUCACAAACAGGCAACGCCACUCAUCACACCACAGCUGACACCAGCAAACACUUGGCAGCCAUUUUGUGUCCUAUGGUGGUCAUUGGAAUCCUAGCCYUUAUCAUUCUGUUAUGUAUCCGUCGCCCAGGAAAUGAAGCCUGUUUCAAACAAGCUCUCAAGUUCUGUAACAAGGGAGUAAGAGAAACAUCGCCUAACAAGACCAAAGAGCCACCUCAUCAACACUGUUCCAGAGAGACACAGCCCAGUAUUAAGCACCAGACAGUGGAUCCACCACCUAUUACAGCAGCAAAUAUGGGUACUACAGAUACAUACAAAUAAUUAUUUUGACCCCAAGAUCUUGAUUUAAAAAGGAAUCUAAAUAUGGUGGAGUUACUCUUGUGGUUUUUCCUAUAGAUGCACGUCAGUCAUUUAACUUGGAGUUUUGCAUAGAUGAUGUUUUGAAGUCCAUGGGGGAUUAGCAUGGGAAGUUGAUUCAUUUCAAGAUCCAUAGUGAAUAAGGCUGAUGAUGAAUAUUAGAAUCUAAUAUCACUUUCUCUCUGUCUGUGUCUCUCUCAGGCCCGGUCCAUGUCCACAAUGCUGGAACAGUCAUCUUCAGUUUACUCAACCAGUUCACUGGUAUGGGUGGAGGGAUGGAAGYGAGAGGGCAGAAAGAGAGGGAUGAGGAAGGAUGUCCGACCCACCCCACACCCUCCCCUAACAUCCAUCUAUCCCAGGAGGAAAGGGAUGGGGAGAUGGACUGUGUAUUCUUCCCUUCACAGGAACAAGGGAAGGACAGUCACAUUUCCAAAGAGGAGGUGCAUUGAGGGGAGGGGGAUUGAGGACAGAGGACGCACCAAGUGAAAGCUUCCCUUCUAGGAUCAGUUUAGCCAACCCUACAUCCUAAUGUUAAUCAUAAGGAGGAUUAAGACUUACCUUGGAUCAGUGGUAAGGGACAACAUCUACCUGGGGCUCUAUUCAGUCUGUAUCACUACAAAUUGCGUGAUAGGAACAGAGGUCAUUUCUGAAUGAGCCAACAUAUGCAGUGUUUAAUGUGAAAGCAGUCUCUUCUGACACAGGAACAUUGUCUUUACAUUUCUAUCAGGCUGUAAAGCUGCACUUCCACAAUACAGAUUGAAUAGAGCCCUUUUAUUUAACUAGACAGGUCAGUUAAGAACAAGUUCUUAUUUUCAAUGACUGCCUAGGAACAGUGGGUUAACUGCCUUGUUCAGGGCAGAACAACAGACUUUUACCUUGUCAGCUCAGGGAUUCGACCUUUUGGUUACUAGUCCAAUGCUCUAACCACUAGGCCACCUGCCACUCUUACUCUCAGAACAUCAGUGAAUCCCAGAACUCUAGAAUGGCCAUUAUUUCCUGUUCUAGACUUAGAUAGAGCUAGGCAUCUCACUAUGGUGGUCAUGUACACAUCCACUUGCUCUCAUUUUAUUGAACUGUAUAAAAAGCUUUGUCUCAACUGCUGCAAACUGUUUUUUUUCUGUGUUCAUGUGGCACCUUGAACUGUUUUUUUCACAAAUUAAAAGCAAAAUACGAAAUAUAAUUUUUCAAUGAAUACAGGUGAUGGGGCGAUUGUAUGACAUUACAGUAGGCCUGUAACAUUUGUGAUUCUGUUCUUUAAAAUACAGCCACUACUAUGUAAGAGUAAACACUGGCAUAAAGCAUAGAUACAGCAAAAAGCAUAAUAAUUGUAACGAAGGUGUAAAACAUCUUCAACAUAAACAUGUACAGUACAUGUAUUCAGCACACAAAUGAGUCUCUGUCUGUCUGUCUGUCUGUCUGUCUGUCUGUCUGUCUGUCUGUCUGUCUGUCUGUCUGUCUGUCUGUCUGUCUGUCUGUCUGUCUGUCUGUCUGUCUGUCUGUCUGUCUGUCUGUCUGUCUGUCUGUCACACUCUUCCAGUUACUCACACUCUUCCAGUUAAAGAUGAGUGACUCCCACUCAUCUUUAGCCUGUGUCUUCAUACUUCAAAGUGUCUUUUUGUCCUAUUUUCUUGUCCUUUCUGAAAGUCCUAGAUACAGAAGCCACUGCAUUAAACCAAUACAGCAGCCUGUCUAGCCUUCAGGUUAGUUUCACUUCAAUGGGAAUGUGAGGUAGUCUGUUUGUCUCCCGGGUCUCCCAGCUCGCUUGUGAGUUCUCAUCCUCUCCUUCGACACCCACUUCCUCCAUCAUACGUCCAGUAGCAGCUCUGGCUUUCCACACACUUCCUGGACUGGCAUGGGCACUUCCUCCUCCGCUGUGCUCUGAUUGGCUGGAGUUGUCUUUUUGGGAGACCAGAAGCCUGAUGGACCAAUAAGAUGAGGUUUAAGUCAAAAUGUGCGUGCAUAUGUAUUGUGUUCAAUAGAACUACAGGACAGAUCAACAGUGACGUGGACUUACUGUUUGGUGAACCAAUCCAUCGCAGAACAGGUUUGAGCUUUGAGAUGGCAACAAGGCAGGUGAGCAGUAGACACACACACACUGCAGACACACACACCGGGAGCCACUUGUUGUCAUCUGUUUGUGUGUAUGAGAGACAGAGGAGUAGAGAGAGGUCAGGGCCAUAAAACACAUUAACACCAGCAUUGUAUUGGGUUUUGUGAGAGAGAGAGAACUAUGUAGCUCUCAUGGCAUUUUUACAUGUCACUUUGAACACUUUCAGGCCAUUUUAUCAUUUGUAUUGUAGUUUACCUUGUUUUGGUUUUGUGCUGGGCCCAAUACCAGGUUUGGUGACCGGUUUAGGUCUAUGAUUAGGGAUACCAGGCACUGAGUGGUUUGACACUGUAGCUGGCAUGAUGGGAGGUGUCGGUAUGAGUUUGGGUGUGUUCGGGCUGGGGAUCUCCUCACAGUCCAGACAGGUGCCACUGCCUCUGCAGCGGUAGCCUGGUUUACAGCUGCACACAUCAUUCUGCUUGGUGGAACAGCGAGAUACAUACUGCAGCUCUGUAACGGAACACAAGUCAUAGAUGGUCUAUUUAUUUGUGUGCCUUCAUGUAUACUGACUUUGACAGUGUUUUUGUCACAUAGUCAAACACAAUCUGAAAUCAUGCCUGAAUAUGAGAAAAUGGCUCAUCUUCAAAAUGACUCAUAGUACCUUGUUGAAUCAGGUUUUGACUCACAACGAACUGAAGUGUAUAUUACCGUCUGACCCCACCCUACACACACACACACACACACACACACACAGCAGCCAUUUCACUAGAGUGAACAUCAGUUAACGUGUUCACUGAGUCUGGCUACUCUCAAACCUCUCUCACCUCUGUGUU
ensembl:lncRNA